rnacentral:rRNA from 1 species
UCGGGCGGGUGCUAUACAUGCAGUCGAGCGAACCAGAUUAAGAGCUUGCUCUUAAGAAGUUAGCGGCGGACGGGUGAGUAACACGUAGGUAACCUGCCUAUAAGACUGGGAUAACUCCGGGAAACCGGGGCUAAUACCGGAUAACAUUUUGCACCGCAUGGUGCGAAAUUGAAAGGCGGCUUCGGCUGUCACUUAUAGAUGGACCUGCGGCGCAUUAGCUAGUUGGUGAGGUAACGGCUCACCAAGGCGACGAUGCGUAGCCGACCUGAGAGGGUGAUCGGCCACACUGGGACUGAGACACGGCCCAGACUCCUACGGGAGGCAGCAGUAGGGAAUCUUCCGCAAUGGACGAAAGUCUGACGGAGCAACGCCGCGUGAGCGAUGAAGGCCUUCGGGUCGUAAAGCUCUGUUGUUAGGGAAGAACAAGUGCUAGUUGAAUAAGCUGGCACCUUGACGGUACCUAACCAGAAAGCCACGGCUAACUACGUGCCAGCAGCCGCGGUAAUACGUAGGUGGCAAGCGUUAUCCGGAAUUAUUGGGCGUAAAGCGCGCGCAGGUGGUUUCUUAAGUCUGAUGUGAAAGCCCACGGCUCAACCGUGGAGGGUCAUUGGAAACUGGGAGACUUGAGUGCAGAAGAGGAAAGUGGAAUUCCAUGUGUAGCGGUGAAAUGCGUAGAGAUAUGGAGGAACACCAGUGGCGAAGGCGACUUUUCUGGUCUGCAACUGACACUGAGGCGCGAAAGCGUGGAGAGCAAACAGGAUUAGA